rnacentral:lncRNA from 1 species
CUGGUGAGGAUAUGGGGAGGCUGGGGGAGGCCACCACACUGCCGUGGUUUCUCCCGCCAAAUUCCCCAGUCCUAGGAAAGAUCCACAGGAAAACCCACAAGAAUUUGAACGUCUGAGCUGGGGCUGUGAUGGAAAUGAAAUUUUUUAAAAAGAAAGAAAAACAAAAAUAGAAAAAAAAGAUUUAAAAAAACAACCCAACUUCAGCUGCCAGAAGGGCCCAAGGCAGCAGCCACGUCGGAAGGAGGAGGGGGCCUUAAGGUGCUUUGCACAUCACUGGGCCCCUGGGCCCCCCGGGCUGGGGCUGUCCCUUCAGCUCCAGUUCCUUAGACUAGCUUGGAAUUCCAUCCGUUCCUUUGGGAGGGCAUCAGGCUCUGCCUCACAAGGCCGGGCUGGGGUCCCUUCCUGUUAGCCCAGACUCCUACCUACACUCAGACGACUGCAGUUGCCUCCUGCCAGGUCCCUAGGUCUCCUCGCCUCUAGACCUGACCCCUGAUCCUACCCUUCAGGAGAUGGCCGGGCAGGGCACAGAGGAGGGAUAGCCCCUGGAGGGGACUGAGGAGGGCCGGCAGCAGCUGCCUGCCGCUGGCUCCCCACUCCCUUGGCACCAGCCGCUCUCUGCCUCCCUCCUACCUCAUCUGAUCCACAGGCCCCAGGGAUGGGGGCCUUCACUGAACUGGGGGCUUCGGAAGUCUGGGGGAGGACGGGCUGACAAAUUUCAUUGCAGAUGCACUGAGUUUGCGGGGCCUGAGAGAUGCAAAGAAAUUUGCAUUGUCCUAGGUAUUUCAAAGGAAUUAUUACCUCAUUCCAUCCUGACAGCAACUUAAUGAGGUAAGUGCUCUCAUUAUCCCCCUUAGGUGAGGGCAAGGAAGCACAGAGAGGUUAGGUAACCUGGCCAAAGUCACACAGUUAGUGAGUGGUGACGCUAGAUUCGAACUCAAGAAACUUUCCUCUAACUACAGCCAUGUGGGAAACAGGAGAUAGAGCCCGGUGCUGGGAGAUGGGAGGCUCAAGUCACAGUUCCGUCCUGCGCCCAAGGCUCCUCUUCAUCCUCCAGGGGAGAACCCGACCAAGG